CCUACGGGGGGCAGCAGUAGGGAAUCUUCCACAAUGGGCGAAAGCCUGAUGGAGCAACGCCGCGUGAGUGAAGAAGGUCUUCGGAUCGUAAAACCCUGUUGUUAGAGAAGAAAGUGCGUGAGAGUAACUGUUCACGUUUCGACGGUAUCUAACCAGAAAGCCACGGCUAACUACGUGCCAGCAGCCGCGGUAAUACGUAGGUGGCGAGCGUUAACCGGAUUUGUUGGGCGUAAAGGGAACGCGGGCGGUCUGUUAAGUCUGAUGGGAAAGCUUUCGGCUUAACCGGAGUAGUGCAUUGGAAACUGGCAGACUUGAGUGCAGGAGAGGAGAGGGGAAUUCGAGGUGUAGCGGUGAAAUGCGUAGAUAUAUGGAAGAACACCGGUGGCGAAGGCGGCUCACUGGUCUGCAACUGACGCUGAGGCUCGAAAGUGUGGGUAGCAAACAGGAUUAGAUACCCCGGUAGUC
rnacentral:rRNA from 1 species